rnacentral:rRNA from 1 species
GAUGAACGCUGGCGGCGUGCCUAAUACAUGCAAGUCGAGCGAACGGACGAGAAGCUUGCUUCUCUGAUGUUAGCGGCGGACGGGUGAGUAACACGUGGAUAACCUACCUAUAAGACUGGGAUAACUUCGGGAAACCGGAGCUAAUACCGGAUAAUAUUUUGAACCGCAUGGUUCAAAAGUGAAAGACGGUCUUGCUGUCACUUAUAGAUGGAUCCGCGCUGCAUUAGCUAGUUGGCAAGGUAACGGCUUACCAAGGCAACGAUGCAUAGCCGACCUGAGAGGGUGAUCGGCCACACUGGAACUGAGACACGGUCCAGACUCCUACGGGAGGCAGCAGUAGGGAAUCUUCCGCAAUGGGCGAAAGCCUGACGGAGCAACGCCGCGUGAGUGAUGAAGGUCUUCGGAUCGUAAAACUCUGUUAUUAGGGAAGAACAUAUGUGUAAGUAACUGUGCACAUCUUGACGGUACCUAAUCAGAAAGCCACGGCUAACUACGUGCCAGCAGCCGCGGUAAUACGUAGGUGGCAAGCGUUAUCCGGAAUUAUUGGGCGUAAAGCGCGCGUAGGCGGUUUUUUAAGUCUGAUGUGAAAGCCCACGGCUCAACCGUGGAGGGUCAUUGGAAACUGGAAAACUUGAGUGCAGAAGAGGAAAGUGGAAUUCCAUGUGUAGCGGUGAAAUGCGCAGAGAUAUGGAGGAACACCAGUGGCGAAGGCGACUUUCUGGUCUGUAACUGACGCUGAUGUGCGAAAGCGUGGGGAUCAAACAGGAUUAGAUACCCUGGUAGUCCACGCCGUAAACGAUGAGUGCUGAGUGUUAGGGGGUUUCCGCCCCUUAGUGCUGCAGCUAACGCAUUAAGCACUCCGCCUGGGGAGUACGACCGCAAGGUUGAAACUCAAAGGAAUUGACGGGGACCCGCACAAGCGGUGGAGCAUGUGGUUUAAUUCGAAGCAACGCGAAGAACCUUACCAAAUCUUGACAUCCUUUGACAACUCUAGAGAUAGAGCCUUCCCCUUCGGGGGACAAAGUGACAGGUGGUGCAUGGUUGUCGUCAGCUCGUGUCGUGAGAUGUUGGGUUAAGUCCCGCAACGAGCGCAACCCUUAAGCUUAGUUGCCAUCAUUAAGUUGGGCACUCUAAGUUGACUGCCGGUGACAAACCGGAGGAAGGUGGGGAUGACGUCAAAUCAUCAUGCCCCUUAUGAUUUGGGCUACACACGUGCUACAAUGGACAAUACAAAGGGCAGCGAAACCGCGAGGUCAAGCAAAUCCCAUAAAGUUGUUCUCAGUUCGGAUUGUAGUCUGCAACUCGACUACAUGAAGCUGGAAUCGCUAGUAAUCGUAGAUCAGCAUGCUACGGUGAAUACGUUCCCGGGUCU